CCAAAAUAAAAUCUUAAGUGGAUCACUGAAAAACAGAAGCUAGUCAACCGUUCGGAGAAACCCAAAACGCAUUUGACAUUGAACUUCUACACAUAACUAGACGACGAAAUAAAGCCGCUAUUAAAAUUUCAAAAUGAAUUUAGCGCAAUCUAUACCCAGAAUAAUCCGAUCAAACCCCCACAACAAAAACCCAGAAAAAAAAAAAUAGCACGUAAUUGCAAAAGAAGAUGCCCAGAAAUCGAGCAUAAGCGCAAAAUAUCACUCAAACACAUAAAUACCAGUUGAACCGUCCUGCGUUGAGAAAAGAAAUACUUGCCUUGUUGAUUAAGAGAAAGGUCACAGAUUUCCCCCGGCGGCGGUCGGCGGGGGACGGCGGAGAUCGGUGGUGGGUGGGGGUGGUUUGGAGGAAGAAAAAAAAAGAAAUGGAGAAACGAGCAGAACCCAAAGACUGAUUUUCCUCUUGUCUAUUUGAAUAUUUUAUUUUACAAUAUUGUUCUCUCUCUCUCUCUCAAUUAUUAUCUUUUACCCUUUUUCUUUUCCUCCUGGAUAUUUUUGUUGCAGCUUAAUUAAUAGCUUUGGCUGGAUUUCAGAUUUUUAUUUU
rnacentral:lncRNA from 1 species